rnacentral:rRNA from 1 species
UCGAACGAAGCACCUGAGAAUGAUUCUUCGGAUGAAGUCUCUUGUGACUGAGUGGCGGACGGGUGAGUAACGCGUGGGUAACCUGCCUCACACAGGGGGAUAACAGUUGGAAACGACCGCUAAUACCGCAUAACCCGCUGGUGCCGCAUGGCACUGACGGAAAAGAUUUUAUCGGUGUGAGAUGGACCCGCGUCUGAUUAGCCAGUUGGCAGGGUAACGGCCUACCAAAGCGACGAUCAGUAGCCGGCCUGAGAGGGUGAACGGCCACAUUGGGACUGAGACACGGCCCAGACUCCUGCGGGAGGCAGCAGUGGGGAAUAUUGCACAAUGGGGGGAACCCUGAUGCAGCGACGCCGCGUGAGUGAAGAAGUAUUUCGGUAUGUAAAGCUCUAUCAGCAGGGAAGAAAAUGACGGUACCUGAUUAAGAAGCCCCGGCUAACUACGUGCCAGCAGCCGCGGUAAUACGUAGGGGGCAAGCGUUAUCCGGAUUUACUGGGUGUAAAGGGAGCGUAGACGGUGAUGCAAGUCAGAAGUGAAAGCCCGGGGCUCAACUCCGGGACUGCUUUUGAAACUGUGUGACUGGAGUGCAGGAGAGGUAAGCGGAAUUCCUGGUGUAGCGGUGAAAUGCGUAGAUAUCAGGAGGAACACCAGUGGCGAAGGCGGCUUACUGGACUGUAACUGACGUUGAGGCUCGAAAGCGUGGGGAGCAAACAGGA